rnacentral:rRNA from 1 species
AUGCCCUGGCUGGCACAUCCUCUAGAUGUAUCAGUUGGUUCAGUUGCUAAACGAAAGCGCUCGCAAAUGGAUGUUUCUCAAACUGGCAAAAGAUUAAGAUAUUCAGUCUCACGCCUUCCAGAGGAUAUCUGGCGUCAUAUAUGCUCCUUUUUGCCACUGAAAGAUGCUGCGCGUGCUGCGAGCGUGUCUCAGUCCUUUAAACGUUUGUGGAGGUGCCGGUCCAACCUCAUCUUCAGUAAGAAAACAAUGGGCUACACAAAAAGUGCACGUAGACGGAGAAUAACAACAAGAGAUUACAACAGCAGAGUUGACCAUAUUCUGAGAAACCACUUAGGCACUGGUGUGAAGACACUCAGCCUUGGAUUCUAUGGUCCUUACAAUGCCAACACCGGAAAUUGUCUUGAUAGUUGGCUCCAGAUUGCUGUUACACCAGGCAUAGAAGAACUCAGCCUCAUACUCUAUUCAAAAAGUGACCAUUUAUCAGAAAAGGCAAUCUACAACUUUCCAUGCCCACUUUUGUCUAAUGGCAGCGGAAACACCAUUCGUGAGCUAGACCUUUUAGGUUGCGCCUUCCACCCCACGGUAGGAAUCAGUUGCACGAGAAGCCUGACGAGUCUAUGUCUGUCUUAUGUGAAUAUUGAGAGUGAUGAGUUGGGGUUCCUUCUUUCCAAUUCUUUGGCUUUGGAGCGAUUGGAACUCAAGGAUUGUAGUGAGAUAAUUUCCAUAAAGAUACCUUCCCUGCUGCAGCGCCUCAGCUACCUGAUGGUUUUCCGUUGUCCCAUGCUGCAAGUGAUUGAAAGCAAGGCUCCAAAUAUCUCCAGUUUUCACUAUUUUCAUGAUGAUGAUGAUGUAGAUCAACAAUUACAGCUAUUUCUUGGAGAAUCACUGCAGAUGAAGGAAAUUUUCAUAUCACAUUCCUGUGUUCUUCAUUAUGCUCUUGCCGUGCUCACAUCCAGUAUGCCGAAUCUUGAAAGGCUUACUAUGCAUUCGUAUUACGAGAUGGUCAGUACACCAACGGUAGCAAGCAAAUUCCUCCACCUCAAAUAUUUGAAUAUUUCUUUAUUUAGAUGGAACUUUGCCUCGACAUAUCUGUAUGCGGACUAUGAUAUUUUCUCGCUGGUUUCUUUUCUCGACGCGUCUCCUUGCUUGGAGACUUUCAACCUAGAUGCACCAAUGAGACGCCGGGAGCAUGACUCAAUUUUUGAAGACCCCCCCUCACAAUUGGGGCGGAUUCCAGGACAAUGCUAUGACAAUCUUAGGCAUGUGAAGAUCACUAAAUUCCGCUCCACAAAGCUAUUGGUUAAGCUCACAUGUCAUAUUCUUGACAGCACACCAUCGCUCGAGUGCCUCACACUGGACAUAACUGAUGGUGGGCCGACUUGUUCCGAGCUUGACAGAUGCUUUGUGGGCAAAGAAACUUAUAUGGAAGCCCCUAAAGCGCUUGCGGCUAUCCAGACUUACAUCGAGAGAAAAGUUCCCUCCACGGCUAAGUUGAAUGUCGUGGAGCCUUGCAGCCGAUGCCCUGCAUGCCCUUUUGACUUACAAGGGAGAUAA